rnacentral:rRNA from 1 species
UGUGGUAAGGGGUGAAAGGCCAAUCAAACUCGGUGAUAUCUCGUUCUCUCCGAAAUGCAUCUAGGUGCAGCGUUAUAAUAUAGUAUCAUGGAGGUAGAGCACUGAUUGGGUACGGGGGCUUAUGCUUACCAAACCCUGUCAAACUCCGAAUGCCAUUGAUAUGUUUUAUAGCAGUGAGGCUAUGGGUGAUAAGGUUCAUAGCCGAGAGGGAAACAACCCAGACGUACAGCUAAGGUCCCUAAAUUUUUACUAAGUGAAAAAGGAUGUAAGGUAGCAUAGACAGCUAGGAGGUUGGCUUAGAAGCAGCCAUACCUUUAAAGAAAGCGUAACAGCUCACUAGUCAAGGUGCUUUGCGCCGAUAAUUUCCGGGACUAAAGUAAAAUACCGAAGCUUAGGACUCGUAAGAGUGGUAGGAGAGCGAUCCAUUAACCUGCGAAGGUCGAUUCGUGAGAAAGGCUGGAGGAGAUGGAUAUGAGGAUGCUGGCAUGAGUACGCGAUAAAACACGUUAAAUUCGUGUUCACCGUAAGCCCAAGGUUUCCUGAUCAACGCAAAUCGGAUCAGGGUUAGCCGGCCCCUAAGGUCAGGCCGAAAGGCGUAGCCGAUGGGAAUCAGGUAAAAUUUAAAUAUUCCUGAGCCUCCGAACCUUAAACUAGGACACCUAUGACCCAGAUGCUUUAUUCUUAAUGAUUUGAGUAAAGUAAGUAAGUUGUAGCAAGAAAAAUCCUAGUGUAUGCUAAGGAGACCGUACCGUAAACCGACACAGGUAGGCGAGGAGAGAAUCCUAAGGUGCUUGAGAGAAUUCUGGUUAAGGAACUCGGCAAAUUGGCCCCGUAACUUCGGGAUAAGGGGUGCCUUCAUUUAUGAAGGCCGCAGUGAAAAGGGGGUAGCGACUGUUUACUAAAAACAUAGGUCUAUGCUAACACGUAAGUGGAAAUAUAUGGACUGACACCUGCCCGGUGCUGGAAGGUUAAAGGGAUGGGUUAGAUUUUUCGAAAUCGAAGCUUUGAUCUGAAGCCCCAGUAAACGGCGGCCGUAACUAUAACGGUCCUAAGGUAGCGAAAUUCCUUGUCGGGUAAGUUCCGACCUGCACGAAUGGUGCAACGACUUCCCCACUGUCUCGACCAGAAACUCAGCGAAAUUGUAAUGUCGGUGAAGAUGCCGGCUAAUCAUAGAAGGACGGAAAGACCCCGUGAACCUUUACUAUAGCUUGAUAUUGUUUUUUGAUUAUGCAUGUGUAGGAUAGGUGGGAGACUUUGAAGCAAGCACGCUAGUGUUUGUGGAGUCAUCCUUGAAAUACCACCCUUGUAUUAUUGGAAAACUAACCGCGUGCCUUGAAUCAGGUACCGGGACAGUGUCUGGUGGGUAGUUUGACUGGGGCGGUCUCCUCCCAAAAAGUAACGGAGGAGCUCAAAGGUUCCCUCAGCACGGUCGGUAAUCGUGCGUAGAGUGCAAAUGCAUAAGGGAGCUUGACUGUGAGACAGACAUGUCGAACAGGUGCGAAAGCAGGAAUUAGUGAUCCGGUGGUUCCGAGUGGAAGGGCCAUCGCUAAACGGAUAAAAGGUACUCCGGGGAUAACAGGCUUAUCUCCCCCAAGAGCUCAUAUCGACGGGGAGGUUUGGCACCUCGAUGUCGGCUCGUCACAUCCUGGAGCUGGAG